AUUCAUCGGCUUAGUAACAUUGCCGGAUCAAGCCGAGCCGGUUAUGAAUAAAUGAUUUUGCCCCUGCGUCCUGUUUCUUUUCUUGCUUCGACACCUGGGGUGCUGCCCGGUGUUAUUGCUACUUCACGAAUCACGACACAGAGAGGUAGAUGGUGAAGGAAGUGGUGGUGUUUCUUAGCAUGUACGAGCAUAAAGAAAACGCCUAAUCUACAAUCUUCGGGAAGCUUCUAUCAGCGUCGACAUUCACUGUUACCCAUUCUCAAAAUCGAUGAUCGAAAUCAACUACGGUGAACAGUGGUCUGUUUCAAAAUUCAAACACUGAGGUCAAAAGAGGGGCCGACGAAUCAAUUGGAUGAUUCUGUUGGGUUUUUGAUUUGUGUCUUUGGUUUGUAGUUUUCAUUGGGUUUUUUUUGCUGUGGUUGGUUUUCAAUUGACUUGAGUUUCGAUUUUGUAUGGGUAUUGUUCGUGCUUCAGUUUGGGAUUUGAGUGAUUGAUUGGAGGAGGUUCAAGGUUGGUUUGAUGGGCAAGGCACGGUCACUCCAAAGGGGUCUUAACUGAAUUAUUGAAACUGCAAAUACUUACUCCAAAGGGUUUGAGCUAUGUUUUGACAGCUGUACUACCUUAAGCUUAACGCAGAGUGGCAGUGGUGUGGUUUCUUCGCUGUUGGUUUUCUUGCAAUUAAAUCAGUUUGAGCUUGAAGACUAUCUAUACUGAACAAGUUGGGCAGACGUUUGGAGAGUUGAACAUUGUGCUCUGAGAAACACUAAGAGCGGAGUGGAGAUCUAUAGCAAGAUUUGGAUCAGAUUUGGGAGGGAUCUUUCAGCGAAAGAAGAGACAGUGUUCCAACUUACUUAACCAUACUCCCGUCAGCAAAGUGAUUACAGCACAAAGCUGGUCUAGGUGCCAGGAAGCAGCACAAAUCAUACAUGCCAAUCACAGUGGCAUUGAAGGUGCUGCAAGUUAGAAACUUCUUAGUCUCUCUUCACAAAAAUCCUCUACAUUACGCUUCACUUUGCAUUUACGGCUAAAGCAUUGUCAGAAAAUCAUUUGCCUACUUUUCUGGUCGAUCAGUUACUAUGAUUACCUGACCCUGAGGCAUGGUUUCAGAACUCAUUCUCUUACCUUUACGAGGCCUUAGCUCAGACUGAAUCUCAAGUUCUAUCUUUUGUGAUUUAACGCACGUUUAGCACCUGAGAUCAUUUAUUCUCAUGCUAAUGAGUGAGAGAAGAAGGAUUUGGGAAAGGCAUAGAUGGACAGGGAGAUAUGAAGCUCAUUUAUGGGACAAAGGGUCUCGGAAUCCAGCACAAAGGAAGAAGGGAAAACAGGUCAGUACUUAGUUACUAGCUAGACUGCUCAAAACCACUUAAUUGCCAGAUAAACAUAUAUUGAAUCAUCUAACUAGAAAGGAAACCCCUCAUGAUUCUUAUAAUUUGAACAAUCAUAUGCAUCAGUUCAAGGGAAAUAGCACAAGGUAAACAUCUCAACCUCAUAUAUGGUUUAUUCGAAAAGAAUCUGUCAGUAUAUUUUGUAUUCAAUAUAUCAUCUGAAUGCCAACAGUUCCAGGAAUAUUGUAGGGCAGGAAAUGGAGAGUGGUACGUAAUCACAUAGAUACGUAUCUUCCAGCAUAAAGAAUCACUGCUGUGGCUUCAUAUAUAUUUUAAAGGAAAUGAGGUUAUUGUUUGGAACAGCACACCAGAGGAUCACAGGAUGAUUGUUAAUGAUAUUCGAAUUAGAACAAAUCUCCUGAACAGAAAAUGAACCAAGUAUGAUGGUAGAGUUCGUAUAAGUUCAGAUUCGAUGAGUAAAAUAGAGGCAGAACUUGAAGUUGAAUUUCAAAGAUUGGGGCUAAACAGGAAUACUUCUACUUUGGAGAGAAGAUUAACUGAUCUUGAUAAGUUUGACAAAUUGGAAGAGCUGGAGUGAUCUAAUUGCCAAUAUAUGAAAUUAACAAUGAGUCCAAGCUGCUAUCAUCAUAGUUGAAGGGGAUUUUACCGUGGUGGUGAUCUUCCCUUCCUGUCCAAGACCGUGAGUUGUUAAGAAUGAAGGUGUGGGAUAGAUCUAUUAGAGUUUUGGUGAAAAUUGGGGGCUUCGAAGCCAUUCACAAGCAGGAAAAAAUCAUUGAAGCUUCCUAUGGAGUCAUGAUUGCUCGGGUUGAUCUUGUAGUUGAAAUUCCACUCCAAGAGAAAAUAACUCAAGUGUGUGGGCAGCUAAACAAUCAAGUAUUUGUAGCUUUCAACUACUUGAAUACCUAACCCCAACACAUGCCGAGAAAAGAAUUUUUUUUUUCCUCGCCUUGAUGGUGAAUUGGACAGUCAGUGUGAUGAACCAGUUUCAAUGAAACUGUGUGCUUCCCCAUCAUGGACUACACAAAAUGAAGAAGAGCUACUAGAUUGCAAAACACUAUCAGAGGUUUUAAAGAGCUUGGAAAAGAAGGUGCCUAACUUGAAAAUUUUCACCUAUGAACGAUUGGAUCAGUUGAAAAGAGCUGCCAUCUUCACUGAAUGUGAAGUGAGAAUGUGACACACAAUGCAUUUAGAAGUGAAGCAGAAUAUUUAACUUGUGAAUGUUCUUUUUUGAUUUUGGGUUGGUUUCUUAUUUGAAUCCUUUUCGUUUGAUUUUUGUUAGUUGUUUGUUAGGAAAAAAGCAAUUUACAAUUGUUAUAUGACUAGAAUGCAUUUAUACUACCCGCAGCAAAGCGCGGGAUCUCGAACUAGUAAAUUCUAUAAUUGAAGUACCAGUGAGUUUAAUUCUUAUUGA